ensembl:lncRNA
UGUUGGUUUUUGACGGUAUCUUUAUUGUAUGCUGGUAUGAAUUAAACAUUAGGAUCAGCAAAUGAUGUCAUCCUUCUCAGUCCCGGUUUGACUGCGUGUAGUCUGUUUCUAUUUGGCUGUGUCCAGACAACAGACAGUUACCAUAAAACAUCCCUAUAAUAAAAUGACACUUAGAUUACAAAAUGAAAUCUCUUGCCUGAUAUACUUACUUACACAAAAGCCAUUGCCCUCUGGGACCCAAAGGAAAUCACAUUCAUCAUACUGUCAAAUAUGUCAGGUUUAUUGAUUGAUCAUACUGUCAAAUAUGUCAGGUUUAUUGAUGUAUAAUAAACCUUGAAAGAGCUGCGUCCAGAAAGCUUAUUUGGAUUGAUAAAAAAGAGGAUUGACCGUUUUGUGCCUGGUCAAAUGUGCUUCAUCCACAUGUGUGUGUGUGUGUGUGUGUGUGUGUGUGUGUGAUAUAUCUGAUCGAUGUGCUUCAUCCACAUAUGUGGUAUAUCUGAUCGAUGUGCUUCAUCCACAUAUGUGAUAUAUCUGAUCGCCCCAAACAGAAAGAUAGUUUGCCACCAUGACACACAUGAGCAGACACAUACUGGGGUCUAAUGCAGUAGCUGCAAAACAGCAUCAACACAAACGGAUAUUCAUGUGCUUUACACGCUUUUAACAUAUUUGUACAGGAAAAUGGAGUAUGUCUUAAUACAAAGCAUUAAUAGAAUUUCUUCCAAUAAUAUAUAGGAAAGAUGUGUGUGUUUUUUUUUUUUUUCUUCCUUUUAAAAAUCGUUAUUUAUCUUUUCUUCCAAUGCUUCCUUUUGACUCCAAUGGAAGCCGGCUGGCCCUUAAGGAUGGUGUGUGUGUGUGUGUGUGUGUGUGUGUGUGUGUGUGUGUGUGUGUGUGUGUGUGUGUGUGGUCGCGCCGUCUGAGCAGGGAGCUGACAGUACGGACACCCUUGCCCCCGGAGGGGUUGCAGAGGUGGCUCUUGGGAUAGCUGACACAGGCAUUUGUUUACGAUGCCAAUGUUUGUGUGUCCCCAGAAUAUAUUUUAUAAUCGGGGGGGGGGGGGGGGCACAAAACUGUGUGUUCAGAAAGGGUCCCACGUGUGCUGGAGCCCCCACAGAAGACUCGUGUCCAGACGGGGAACCGAUUCCGGACGGGGAACCGAGUGUGGAACCAAAAAAAAGAGGACCGCGGAGAAGGGAGCGGCCUCCAUCAUAGAGUACUUUCAAGCAUCCACUCGGAUUUGGAGAGGGGCCCCCCCUCGGCCCCCAGCAGCUGCUCCGUGCUCUUCAUGUGGGGCAGGUCCCCGCUCAUGGACAGGCUCCUCUUGGAGCGCAGGCUGCCCCCUGGUGGCUGGGGGGAGUGUGGCAGCGUGACGUAGCGCGGCGUGGUAGCGCGGCAGGCGGCGGCGUCCACGUUGAGCGAGUGUCUGCGGCUGACGCGCACGCACCCCACCGGCAGCGUCUGGUAGCUGAGCAUCGCCUCGGGGUGCGGCCGCCGCGGCACACGCACCAUGGUGGAGCACAGGCGCACGGCCGCGCGGUGCGGGUGGGACGACAGCAGCGAGAGCGGCCGCGGGCACGCCGAGUUGUUCCUGUUGGCGUUGUCCAGCUCCGCGUCGAUCUGGACGUCAGGCUGGCGCGCGGCAGUGGCGGAGG